UACGGAGGGGCUAGCGUUGUUCGGAAUUACUGGGCGUAAAGCGCACGUAGGCGGACUAUUAAGUCAGGGGUGAAAUCCCGGGGCUCAACCCCGGAACUGCCUUUGAUACUGGUAGUCUCGAGUCCGGAAGAGGUGAGUGGAAUUCCGAGUGUAGAGGUGAAAUUCGUAGAUAUUCGGAGGAACACCAGUGGCGAAGGCGGCUCACUGGUCCGGUACUGACGCUGAGGUGCGAAAGCGUGGGGAGCAAACAGG
rnacentral:rRNA from 1 species